ensembl:lncRNA
UACAGACUUUUGACAAAUUGGAGUGUGAUCGGUUUUACCUUUCAGUCUCUGCACUCACACUGAAAUUUUCUCACCCACUCAGCUCUCAUAGAGUAGGAAAAAAAUUCCAGACUCUCUCUUAGGUUAAUCUAGCUUGAGCAAAUGAGGCCACGGGUGUCAUCAAUUUGUGGAGAAUCAUUAUCCAAGUGUUGGGAGAGUCUGCACUUGAGUCUCUAGAGCGUUGGGUAAUUGCACUAACAGGGUGGAAUCAGCAGGAGCCAUUAUUUAACAGCAGACAGCUGUGACAGGAGCUGCACACGUUGAUCUGUUUGCUUUUACAUUCCUGUCGCUCCGCUUUACAAUCACAGGGUUCCAAUGGCAGAUCCAGGGCCCAGUGUGGACCUCACUCACACUCCAAUCUGAUGGAAAGCUGGAGUCUGGCACAAGAGCCACAGAACAGCCAAAUGAACUACAGAUUCCAGCUCCUACUGGAGAAUCCAGUACCUAGCCAGCUGUGAGAUAUAAUCCUCCAGUGGGUCCUGGGUCUGCCCUAGGGUCUCCAUCUAGGGGGAAAAGCCUGAUACAGCUUUAGCUGGAGCUGUCCAUGGCUCCAGUGACUGAGUCAGGGGGAGGUGGAGUCGCACACUGCCAUGUCAGCAUUUUCUCCUCCAAUCGAUUUUGCCCAGCCUGCAGCAACAAAUCAGCCAGUUACAUGUUC